AUUUAAGUAGUUUAUUAAAAUAUGGGCUUGUGGUGCCUAAGAUACAGGAUUUGUCUUAAAUA
rnacentral:tRNA from 1 species